rnacentral:rRNA from 1 species
GAGUUUGAUCCUGGCUCAGAACGAACGNUGGCGGCAGGCCUAACACAUGCAAGUCGAGCGAGAUUUUCGGAUCCUAGCGGCGGACGGGUGAGUAACGCGUGGGAACGUGCCCUUUUNUACGGAAUAGCCUCGGGAAACUGGGAGUAAUACCGUAUACGCCCUUUGGGGGAAAGAUUUAUCGGAGAAGGAUCGGCCCGCGUUGGAUUAGGUAGUUGGUGGGGUAAUGGCCUACCAAGCCGACGAUCCAUAGCUGGUUUGAGAGGAUGAUCAGCCACACUGGGACUGAGACACGGCCCAGACUCCUACGGGAGGCAGCAGA